rnacentral:rRNA from 1 species
CCUACGGGAGGCAGCAGUGGGGAAUUUUCCGCAAUGGGCGCAAGCCUGACGGAGCAACGCCGCGUGAGGGAUGAAGGCCUCUGGGCUGUAAACCUCUUUUAUCAAGGAAGAAGAUCUGACGGUACUUGAUGAAUAAGCCACGGCUAAUUCCGUGCCAGCAGCCGCGGUAAUACGGGAGUGGCAAGCGUUAUCCGGAAUUAUUGGGCGUAAAGCGUCCGCAGGCGGUCUUGUAAGUCUGUCGUUAAAGCGUGGAGCUUAACUCCAUUUAAGCGAUGGAAACUGUAAGACUAGAGUGUGGUAGGGGCAGAGGGAAUUCCCGGUGUAGCGGUGAAAUGCGUAGAUAUCGGGAAGAACACCAGUGGCGAAGGCGCUCUGCUGGGCCAUAACUGACGCUCAUGGACGAAAGCCAGGGGAGCGAAAGGGAUUAGAUACCCCUGUAGUCCUGGCCGUAAACGAUGAACACUAGGUGUCGGGGGAAUCGACCCCCUCGGUGUCGUAGCCAACGCGUUAAGUGUUCCGCCUGGGGAGUACGGUCGCAAGACUAAAACUCAAAGGAAUUGACGG